UGCAAGUCGACGCUUCUUACUUAUCGACUUCGGUUCACCAAGUAAGAGGAGUGGCGAACGUGUGUUGAGUAACACGUGGGUAACCUGCCCAUCAGAGGGGGAUAACACUUGGAAACAGGUAGACUAAUACCGCAUAAUUCACUUUACCGCAUGGUAAAGUGAUGAAAGGCGCUUUUGCGUCACUGAUGGAUGGACCCGCGGUGCAUUAGCUAGUUGGUAGGGUAAUGGCCUACCAAGGCAACGAUGCAUAGCCGACCUGAGAGGGUGAUCGGCCACACUGGGACUGAGACACGGCCCAGACUCCUACGGGAGGCAGCAGUAGGGAAUCUUCGGCAAUGGACGAAAGUCUGACCGAGCAACGCCGCGUGAGUGAAGAAGGUUUUCGGAUCGUAAAACUCUGUUGUUAGAGAAGAACAAGGAUGAGAGUAAAACGUUCAUCCCUUGACGGUAUCUAACCAGAAAGCCACGGCUAACUACGUGCCAGCAGCCGCGGUAAUACGUAGGUGGCAAGCGUUGUCCGGAUUUAUUGGGCGUAAAGCGAGCGCAGGCGGUUCUUUAAGUCUGAUGUGAAAGCCCCCGGCUCAACCGGGGAGGGUCAUUGGAAACUGGAGAACUUGAGUGCAGAAGAGGAGAGUGGAAUUCCAUGUGUAGCGGUGAAAUGCGUAGAUAUAUGGAGGAACACCAGUGGCGAAAGCGACUCUCUGGUCUGUAACUGACGCUGAGGCUCGAAAGCCGUGGGGGA
rnacentral:rRNA from 1 species